UUUGAUGCUCCCUCUUCCCGCUCAGUCCUCUCAUCUUCCCUCCGGUCGCUCGUUUCCUCGCUCUAGUCGUUCCCCCGAUUCCUGCAUCGACAAAACCUUAGAGCGAGCCUGUCCUUCUCCUUCGAUCGCUUGAUUCCUCGAAUGGAGAAACCCAAUGUCGUGCCCUCCCUUGCUUUUCUGAUCCCCGAUUACCUCUCGCCAUUGGUGGGCGAGAUAUUUCCCUUUGGAGUUAGGGUUCGAAGCGAAAGAGGUAAUCGAUUUAUCCCUGUUCAUCGAUCUUCAAAUCCCUUCUUAUUUAGUUCUUAGUUGCUAUUAUCUAUCUAGCUAUUUAACGAGUUCUUAGUUGCUAUUAUCUAUCUAGCUAUUUAACGAUUUGCUUUAGUUUCUUCAGAUUUUAUGAUGGAAUCCGUGAUCUUCAUAUUUUGAUACGCAUCUCUUUUCAGUACUUUCUUGCAGACGGAAAAUUAUUGCAGUGAGAUGAGAACGACAUUCAAGAGACUGAAUGUUCCGAGACGAGAUCAGAGAGGACACCAUUGCGAUUUGCGCAGCUAGAUGAAUGUAUCAAACGUUGGACGCCAGCAGGGAUAAGGUCAAAUUCUCUUUUCAUAAUCUAUUUUUCUUCCGUGCAUCUCUGCUCUGCAUACAAUUUCAGGAUGCAGAUCAACCAAUAAAACAACAGGAGAACUAUCGACUCUUCUUAAAAAAA
rnacentral:lncRNA from 1 species